GCCCUUAUAGCUCAGUGGUAGAGCGCGACACUUGUAUCCCUGCAAGUUUAUGUCGAGGUCCAUCGUUCAAUCCGGUGUGGGGGCA